AGCACGGAGCUGGCGGAGCGCGCCCGGCGCGAGCAGUGAGUGCGGAGAGGCAGGCAGCGCCAGCCGGGAGGAGGAGAAACAGGGAGUGCGCGCCCGCAGCGCGGGGAGCCUCCUGGGCCGCCGGGUAGGGGGUGGGGACGGAAGGGGCGGAGGGCGGGGGCUGGGCUUCUUCCUCGGUGCGUUCCCGGUGCUGGCCGCCGCCGCGCUCGCUCCCCGCGCUGGCUUCAGGAGAGACCCGGCCGGGACACUCACACAUCAACUCUAAGGGAAGACUUGCAGCGGGGCUCAGCACCCCGGGGCACCUCUGCAACCUUGGUAAAUAUAGACUAUCCUUAAUUCGCAGGGGCAUUGGUACGUGGGGUGUACAGGCAGGCACAGGAAAGACGCUGUGGCCACCCAGGAGCAGGGGUGGCAGCCAACACCCCCUGGAUCCCCAGUUCCAAGGUGCGGGGAGGGGGGCACAGGCAAGUUCCCUCCGCUCUCUGCCCCUGGACCUUGGCCUUGGUGAGAUCUGUCCCUAUACUGCCCUGGGUGUCUGUUCCCUCAUCCGAAAAGCGGGAGGCUGACAGCCGUCACUGCGUACAGCUGCCUCCACUGUCAGGAAGCCUCCCUCCCGCCCACCUGCCCAGGAAAAGCUGCGCUGGGGUGCCCUAGGCAAGGGCACUGCUGGCCACCUGCCCGCGCCUGGGUUGGGGGUGGGGGGACCAGCUGAGCACCCAAAUCCUGGCCUCUGCCCCCAGCGCCAGAGCAGAUUUCAGAACAAUUUGUAAUGACGAAACCCCACGUUUCCCUUUAUCUCUGGGCAAGGCUUUCUUCGUUGUAGGCAAUUAAUCCAAAAGCAACACCAGCCGAGUGGGCUGGACUCCUUGAAGAUCAAAACUGCCCAGCGCAGGCGUUAAUUAAGUCAUUAUCUCAGGCCCCCAGCAACUAGGGAUCAGGCCUUUCCGGUUCACACUCCCCAGAAAGGGAGAUAACCCCCCUGCCAGCAGGGUGGGAAGGCUCUCUCUCCAUGUUGUUUUAACUCCCUAUUAAAUCAUUUUAUUUUCUUUUAAAUACACAAACAGAAAUGAAGUUGAAAAUAGCACAUGAGCCCGCAAUCAUUGUGUGAACAUUUUGUGAAUGAAGACAUGUAUGAAAGGACGUUUGGCAGCUUCCAGAAACAAAAGCCGAGAGUCUAGCUAGACCAGGGCCAUCCAGCCCAGGAGCGAUGGCCACGCGUGGCCGCUGGACACGAGAGACGUGGCCGGUCCGAACUGUGCAGUGCAGUAAGUGGAGAACACAUGCCAGCUUUCGGAGGCUUAGUAAAGAAUGCAAAAUUUCUCAAUCGGGAAUUUUUGUAUGAAUUUCAGGUUGAAAAAAAAUCUUGGAUACAUGGAGUUAAAUAAACAUGAUUACAGUGACUUUCGCUGUUAGCCUCCCGGAGGCUUGUCUCGCUCCUCUGGGCCACAGCCAGCUCAGAGGGUUGCUCUAGGAAAUAUCUGCACAUUCUUUAAGCAAAGGUUUAUGUGCCAGGCACUGUGCUAAGUGCUGAGGACACGGCGCUAAGACCAGGCCCUCACAGAGCUCUCAGUCUCUGAGAAACAGUAAGCCAGAGAUGGCCGCAGGUGCAGCAUUUCAGGUAAAGGAUUUCAGGCCCAGGUCAGGCCUUGUCUGAGGAGUCUCAGAAGAAGCCGAUUGAGAACAUCUAGAACAUCUAGGUCAGGCAUUCCAGGCAGACACGACAAAGCAGGUGCAAAGGCCCCAGGGCGGGAACCAGCGUGGCUUGUGCACGGAACAAGGAGGCAGAUCACUUGGCCUUGGGACCAAAGGAAGGCUCUGGAUUUUAUUCUAGGGGCAGUGGAAGCCGUUGGAGGGCUUCAGGCAGGAACACAAGGUGUCGUGGCCUAAAGGAAGAAGGGGCCGGGCGCGGUGGCCCACACCUGUCAUCCCAGCACUUUGGGAGGGAGGCCAAGGCAGGAGGAUCGCCUCAGCCCAGGAGUUCAAGAUCAGCCUGGGCAACACAGCAAGACCACGUCUCUACUAAAACCCUGAAACUUAGCCAGGCUUGGUGGCAUGUGCCUAAGGUGCCAGCUCCUCGGGAGACUAAGGCAGGAGAUGGCUUAAGCCCAAGAGUUUGAGGCUGCAAUGAACUAUUAUCAAACCACUGCACUCAGCCUGGGUGACAGAGUGACUCUGUCUCAAAACUAAAUAAAGGAACAAUAAUCAUGUUA